AAAAAUUAUAACCCAAAAUGUUGACAUAAAAAUUAGAGAAUAUGUACUAGAUAACUAUGAAUUGUAAAAGAAUUAACAAAAUAGCUACGGUGUCAGAGUACACCCUCUUUCUUCACUUGCAAUUACCUUUUUACCCAUUUUCGUAUUUUAUAUAUAUUACAUGUUAUUUUCCAAAAAUUUACAGAACACUUAGAAUCAUCUCAUCUCUCUUUAUUCCACCACCACAACCACCACAUCUUCCACCAUCUCAUCCACCCGAUCUCUUUUUCGAUAAAUCUAGGCUGCCAAAUGUUAUUUAUAUUGAUAAAUCAUCUCUCCCUCAAUUUGCAGAAGAUUUGUCAUUUUAUUUUAUUCGAUUUUGAUUCUUUUUUGGAAUCUCCGUCGUUAUGUUUUUUUUUUUA
rnacentral:sRNA from 1 species